GCGCUCACUCGCGGGAGGCGCGCCGAGAUGUAUGUGCGUGCGGCGGCGCGUGCUCCCUGGAGGGGGCGUGUCCUUUGGCCGCUGGAGGGGUCGAAAGGGUCUGAGUCUACAAGCCUCUACAAUUGCUCAGAUGUGAGGAGGGGAGGUGCGCCCUGUGUAGGGCGGGCUCCACCUGCCUGCGGACAGAUGGAGGGUCACUUUGUUUGGAAGAAACCCGGGCGCCCGAAGGAGGAUGUGAAACGGAACAACCCGUUUCUGUGAGAAUAUUAACAUGAAGAUGAGCCACAUGACAAAAAUGAAAGUGAACAUGAUGUGGAAAACAUGAAGAUGGAAUCCAAAGCUAAGGAUCCUGGAACAGAAAGAUAGGAGAAGUCUAAGUCAUUUGUGAUAUCUUAAAGCUGCUGCAGUAGUCCUAGAGUGGCUAACCCUGGAUUUAGUGUUAAGUCUGAAAAAUAAAUCCCAAUUUGGUUAAA